rnacentral:misc_RNA from 1 species
UACGUAGGUGGCAAGCGUUGUCCGGAGUUAUUGGGCGUAAAGCGCGCGAAGGUGGUUUCUUACGUCUGAUGUGAAAGCCCACGGCUCAACCGUGGAGGGUCAUUGGAAACUGGGGAACUUGAGUGCAGAAGAGGAAAGUGGAAUUCCACGUGUAGCGGUGAAAUGCGUAGAUAUGUGGAGGAACACCAGUGGCGAAGGCGACUUUCUGGCCUGUAACUGACACUGAGGCGCGAAAGCGUUGGGAGCAAACAGG